UACGUAUAUUAAUUAAUAUAAAAUAAGACAAUUUUUGUUACUUGUUUACAAUUUAGUUUGUUUCAAUGAAGCAAAUCAAAAGGAGGAAAAAGAAAAACCUGGAAAUCGUCCUUACAAAACAUUCAAUAGAGAUUUCAAUUCAAUCAAAGCGAAUGGUUUUAAAUUUGAACCUUUAAGUUGGUGUGCAACAAAAAG